GGAAUAUUGCACAAUGGGCGAAAGCCUGAUGCAGCGACGCCGCGUGAGGGAUGACGGCCUUCGGGUUGUAAACCUCUUUCAGCAGGGACGAAGCGCAAGUGACGGUACCUGCAGAAGAAGCACCGGCUAACUACGUGCCAGCAGCCGCGGUAAUACGUAGGGUGCAAGCGUUGUCCGGAAUUACUGGGCGUAAAGAGUUCGUAGGCGGUUUGUCGCGUCGUUUGUGAAAACCAGCAGCUCAACUGCUGGCUUGCAGGCGAUACGGGCAGACUUGAGUACUGCAGGGGAGACUGGAAUUCCUGGUGUAGCGGUGAAAUGCGCAGAUAUCAGGAGGAACACCGGUGGCGAAGGCGGGUCUCUGGGCAGUAACUGACGCUGAGGAACGAAAGCGUGGGUAGCGAACAGGAUUAGAUACCCCAG
rnacentral:rRNA from 1 species